CAGUCGUCGCCCCCCAAAAAAUGACGUACUUCCGUGUGUGUGUGUGUGUGUUUGUGUGUGCGCGCGCCAGUUUCCUCAGGGGCUGUUCGUGUGCCAGUUCUCCUACUAGGAAGAGAGAAGCACAUACACAAAGGCAGAGUGGUCAGGUGACACAACAGCUUACCAGGGUGGAGGUGAAGGUGGAACUGGAAAAGGAAAAAAAAUAAAAUAAAUAAAAACCCAGUUGCUUUUAAAAAAUUUCCACCUCCGAAGAAAGGAAUCUAUGUGAAAGGCCAUAAUGUCAGCUGAGAAUGAAGGGCUGGCCCAUUGUAAAUUCAUCCUGGUGUUUGCCAUCACUAUGGAUCUCCUUGGGAUUACUAUAGUCCUGAUGGGAGUCUUUGUCCCACUAGAAGUUAAAGGUCAAGACUUUGGUGAUCUACUGGUCUACUCAGGCGUGGUGUUGGUCCUGAUGUCCAUGGUCGGCUGGGUUAUGUGGUACAGUGGCAACAUCGAAGGCUUGAGCAUAAGAAAGGACCUUGGAUAUAAACACAAUGCUGUGGAUCGACUUGCUCGCACACUCAGUCGCCGCAUACGAAGCAGCCAUUACAGGAAAUAGGAUGUUCUUUCAAGAGCUGAGUCUUCUGUUUCUGGAGUGUCAGAUUACCUUCAAUGCUCAAAUAUCCAAAAAUAGUACAGGUAUAGUGGAGUGAUUUAUUAGUUAUCAUAAAUAACAACAGUUUACUGACUACUGGCUGUACUUGUGAAUAAUAUUCAUAUAUUUAUUUGACUGAACUAGGAACUAACAACCUGACAGUUUUGUGUUUUUCUUUUCAGAACUCUAUACAUUUUUUUCUAUAAUAUGAAUUAGAUCCAAUAAUAUAUACUUUAUAUUUCACAAUACAAAUGAAAAUUGCAACCAAAGGCUUCAUAAGAAACACACAAUAUGGUCAUCUGUUGUAUCACAGCAUGUGAAUGUACCAAAAGUACAUAUGGGAACAGUUCCGGUUUAAUUAAUUCACGUUGGCUUCACCUGUUAUAAAUGGUACAAUUGUACUAGUACACAGAGUAAUUAUUCAGUAAAUUAUACCAUAGCAUUUCUCAUGUGUGUACUGCCAGGAUCAUCACCACUCCAUUUUACUUUGUGAAAUAAAUAAAGGUCAGUUCUGUUUA